rnacentral:rRNA from 1 species
GAUGAACGCUGGCGGCGUGCCUAAUACAUGCAAGUCGAGCGAAUGGAUUAAGAGCUUGCUCUUAUGAAGUUAGCGGCGGACGGGUGAGUAACACGUGGGUAACCUGCCCAUAAGACUGGGAUAACUCCGGGAAACCGGGGCUAAUACCGGAUAACAUUUUGAACCGCAUGGUUCGAAAUUGAAAGGCGGCUUCGGCUGUCACUUAUGGAUGGACCCGCGUCGCAUUAGCUAGUUGGUGAGGUAACGGCUCACCAAGGCAACGAUGCGUAGCCGACAUGAGAGGGUGAUCGGGCACACUGGGACUGAGACACGGCCCAGACUCCUACGGGAGGCAGCAGUAGUGAAUCUUCCGCAAUGGACGAAAGUCUGACGGAGCAACGCCGCGUGAGUGAUGAAGGCUUUCGGGUCGUAAAACUCUGUUGUUAGGGAAGAACAAGUGCUAGUUGAAUAAGCUGGCACCUUGACGGUACCUAACCAGAAAGCCACGGCUAACUACGUGCCAGCCGCCGCCGUAA